CGUGUUAUUGUGUCAGAUUAGCAGGAACACUUGUCAGAAUGGGUCGUCUUGCUGCCUUUCUCUUUGUCUGCAUACUCGCAGCUCCUGUUUUGUGCCAGCUGAUCACGCCUUUCCAAGUCUGCGAGAUGAAAUGUUUGGAUGACCAAAACGCAACAUGGCCGAACCAUGCUACGGCGGAGAUUAACGAACACUGCCGGACAUAUUGUCUUGGACACUGGCAAGACCUACUCUUCGGGAACCAAGGCACCGUGGGAUAGACGUCCACAAUAGUACUUCACAGGCACUGACUUAUACGAUGACAAGAUUUUAAAAAUACAGUUUUUGAACAAAACGUCAA